rnacentral:rRNA from 1 species
GACGAACGCUGGCGGCGUGCUUAACACAUGCAAGUCGUACGGUAAGGCCCUUUCGGGGGUACACGAGUGGCGAACGGGUGAGUAACACGUGAGUAACCUGCCCACAACUUUGGGAUAACGCUAGGAAACUGGUGCUAAUACUGGAUAUGUGCUCCUGCUGCAUGGUGGGGGUUGGGAAGCUCCGGCGGUUGUGGAUGGACUCGCGGCCUAUCAGCUUGUUGGUGGGGUAGUGGCCUACCAAGGCGGCGACGGGGAGCCGGCCUGAGAGGGUGACCGGCCACAUUGGGACUGAGAUACGGCCCAGACUCCUACGGGAGGCAGCAGUGGGGAAUAUUGCACAAUGGGCGCAAGCCUGAUGCAGCAACGCCGCGUGCGGGAUGACGGCCUUCGGGUUGUAAACCGCUUUCAGCAGGGACGAAGCUUUUUGUGACGGUACCUGCAGAAGAAGCACCGGCUAACUACGUG